rnacentral:ncRNA from 2 species
UGUUCUUUCGUCGUAGCUGGUGCCGGUUUAAAAGCCGGAGAAUAGGGAAUUACGUGAGAAUCGUAAACUGUACCCGCAACUGUACAACGGUAGCCGCAACAAGCGGAGCAUGGCCACAUGCUCAAGCUCUUUGUGGCAGUUUCAGGUCACUGCAUGUUCUCCUCCAGGGAGAGCGGCGGGAAGGCCGGAACAGAUUGAGACCGUGAUAGUCAGGAGACCUGCCAGUUAUUAUUUGCAUUA